rnacentral:rRNA from 1 species
CCUACGGGUGGCAGCAGUAGGGAAUUUUCGUCAAUGGGCGCAAGCCUGAACGAGCAAUGCCGCGUGAACGAGGACGGUCUUCGGAUCGUAUAGUUCUGUUGAAGGGGAAAAAGAGAGGAGAGAGGAAAUGGUCUCCGAUUGAUAUUAACCUUCGAGGAAGUCACGGCUAACUACGUGCCAGCAGCCGCGGUAAUACGUAGGUGGCGAGCGUUAUCCGGAAUGAUUGGGCGUAAAGGGUGCGUAGGCGGCCUGCUAAGUCUGGAGUGAAAGGUACCGGCUCAACCGGUACAGGCUCUGGAAACUGGCGGGCUAGAGAGCAGGAGAGGGCGGUGGAACUCCAUGUGUAGCGGUAAAAUGCGUAGAUAUAUGGAAGAACGCCAGUGGCGAAGGCGGCCGCCUGGCCUGUUACUGACGCUGAGGCACGAAAGCGUGGGGAGCAAAUAGGAUUAGAUACCCGGGUAGUC